GCGGUGGAUGAUGUGGUUUAAUUCGAUGCAACGCGAAAACCUUACCCACCUUUGACAUGGCAGGAAGUUACCAGAGAUGGUUUCGUGCUCGAAAGAGAACCUGCACACAGGUGCUGCAUGGCUGUCGUCAGCUCGUGUCGUGAGAUGUUGGGUUAAGUCCCGCAACGAGCGCAACCCUUGCCAUCAGUUGCUACGAAAGGGCACUCUGAUGGGACUGCCGGUGACAAACCGGAGGAAGGUGGGGAUGACGUCAAGUCCUCAUGGCCCUUAUAGGUGGGGCUACACACGUCAUACAAUGGCCGGUACAAAGGGCAGCCAACCCGCGAGGGGGAGCCAAUCCCAUAAAGCCGGUCGUAGUCCGGAUCGCAGUCUGCAACUCGACUGCGUGAAGUCGGAAUCGCUAGUAAUCGUGGAUCAGCAUGUCACGGUGAAUACGUUCCCGGGUCUU
rnacentral:rRNA from 1 species